CAAACUUUCUCUUACGAUUACCGAAGCAUUUUCUUUUACAUAAAAACAGGGCAAAAUUAUCAUUGCUAAUUAGAUAUUGUGCUCUUUGUUAGUAAGUUUAUUGUUUCUUCGCCAUUAUAAACGCAAAUAGCGUUCAGCAUCAUCGAUCUUUCACGUGACCUCUGGCCUGGAUUUAAAAUUUUUACCGGUAUUUCCGAGUGCACGGCGGCACGGAUUCAUUCGUUCGUACACUCAAGACUGCUUUGUUUCUAAAACUAGUUUCUUGCGCUUCGAUGUCUCGCGUUAUUUAACUUGGGGUGAAGUUACGUGUUUGCAAGCGGACAUGUAAGCCCGGCAGUUGGGUUUCGGUCGUGAGCCAUUCGGAACAGGUCUGCAUCGAAACGGGAGCUGGAUUUUGCUGCGGCUGACAACGGCAAUAACGACAUGCAGUAAUGAAGACGGCACCAGUAUAAAGCAACACACUCCACGCACUAAACAGAAGCUGCUGCCUGCUACAACAAGGUCAUUGUGUGGACAUUGGCUACUACUACAAGAGUCUAUGCCAAGCACAUCUUGGUCAUCACAGGAGCUCCUAUCUGCGCCAACAGGAAGGGGCUGGAGCCGAAUUUGCAAGGCUUUUACACCAAGAACAAAGAAGCACAUGCAGAAGAAUAUGAAUGAGAUAUCAAGUCU